UGGGGAAUAUUGGACAAUGGGCGAAAGCCUGAUCCAGCCAUGCCGCGUGUGUGAAGAAGGCCUUUUGGUUGUAAAGCACUUUAAGCGAGGAGGAGGCUACUUAGAUUAAUACUCUAGGAUAGUGGACGUUACUCGCAGAAUAAGCACCGGCUAACUCUGUGCCAGCAGCCGAGGUAAUACAGAGGGUGCGAGCGUUAAUCGGAUUUACUGGGCGUAAAGCGUGCGUAGGCGGCUUUUUAAGUCGGAUGUGAAAUCCCUGAGCUUAACUUAGGAAUUGCAUUGGAUACUGGGAAGCUAGAGUAUGGGAGAGGAUGGUAGAAUUCCAGGUGAAGCGGUGAAAUGCGUAGAGAUCUGGAGGAAUACCGAUGGCGAAGGCAGCCAUCUGGCCUAAUACUGACGCUGAGGUACGAAAGCAUGGGGAGCAAACAGG
rnacentral:rRNA from 1 species